CCAAGGGACCCCACGACGCACGCAGCUGCUGUCCACGGGCAACGGCCUCGGCGAGCUUCAUACCCGCCUCCUGGGGCCACCGCGCUCCAGGUCCCCCUGACUGGCCAUGCCCACCCGGCAGCUGCUGCACCGCUCCCUGGCCUGUCUUCCACCGGGGUUUCUGUCUCGCUGCUUAGCUUAUGCGAUCCAGGAGGCUCCAAGCUCCUCAGUGUUGGGCAGGACUCUCAGAUGGAGCCAGCACUGGGCACUGGGAACUCCAAGAGGCUCGGCCAUUCCGGACAGCUAAGAUCUGUCAUCCAGGGUGCAACCUGACCCUCCUCCAUCACCACCCCGGCGAGAAAGAAGUUCCCCCCAUGAGCUCCGUUCCAUCCAGAGUACCUAGAUGCCGGCCCAAAGAAGACUGAGCGAGCCCUGGGGAGGAGGAAGGGACAGCCGAAGAUGGAGGACGGCCAAAAUAGUGACCCAAGCAUAGAAGCGCCCAUCACAUGCAGGCAAUGGAGUGUGCCAUCAGCAUCGUCCGGGGAAGCGACCCGAUGCUUUUUCCUUGCUCUGGGGGCCUGGGCCUCUGCAGGAAACCUGCAUUCCUUCCAACCACCCAGGAGCCACGGGGAGUAAGAAGGCGAAGUUGUCCCCUGUGAGCUCAGGCGUCAGAAGUCGUGCCUUCCCCAGCUCAUGGAGCCGGCCCUGCUGGGGGGCUCCUGUCUCUUGUUGUUGUUGUUGUUGUUGUUGUUGUUUUUGACAGGCAGAGUUAGAUAGUGAGAGAGAGAGAGAGAGAGAGAGAAAGGUCUUCCUUCCGUUGGUUCACCCCCAAAGUGGCUGCUAUGGCAGGCGCACUGCGCUGAUCCAAAGCCAGGAGCCAGGUGCUUCUCCUGGUCUCCCAUGGGGUGCAGGGCCCAAGCACUUGGGCCAUCCUCCAUUGCACUCCUGGGCCACAGCAGAGAACUGGACUGGAAGAGGAGCAACCAGGACAGAAUCCAGUGCCCCAACUGGGACUAGAACCCAGGGUGCCGGUGCCACAGGCGGAGGAUUAGCCUAGUGAGCCGCGGCACCAGCCGCUCCUGCCUCUUUAGGAGAGUGGUGCAGGGACUUUGGGAUCCAGCCACAAUGGGUUCAGAAAGUUUAGCCAAGGAAAAGUUCCUGAAGGCCAUUGGCCUGGUUCUCCAACCCCACUGAAGACAGAGGAGAGGAAGGGAGGAAGGCUACAGAUGUGCUGUCAAACAAAAUCUCCACCCACUCCUGCCAGAUGCGGGCUCUGUUAACAAAAUUCCUCUGCCCCUGUACCAACCCCACGCCAUAUGCUGAUCCUGAAAUGAUGGGAUGAGACACUCAAUCCUUAUUUUUUUUUUCUUUUUGCUGUUCUGGCCAUUUCUUUCUUGAAGUUCAGUAUUUUUUUUUUUAAGAAUUCCACUUUCAAGUGGAAAUAGAGCCCAUUUGAAUUCUGGUCCUUUCACUACAAGUCUUUACUCUGAUCUUCAAAGUAUCUUACUGUCGGGAGAAAUUAAAACUCGGAUGUGUUCUGAUGGACAACCGAAGACCAGAGGAGAAAGCAGCUGUUUCCGUUUCCUCCAAGUCUACCACCCGCAGGACUGAGUCCUCCACCCCUAUGGAUAUGGAGUCCCUCUCUUUUCCUUACAGAUUCCUUGAGUCGCUGCCACAAAUUCCCGUCUUCACCAGUGAGCUCAGCACGGCCUCUGUGGUCACUGUCACCAGUGCAGCCAGACUCUGUGGACUCGGCCAAGGGUGAUUUGAAAAUCCUCGGAAGAUGGCUUCUACUUCACCCUCAGGCAUGAGCUCUCUGAAGGCGUCUGCUCUGAGCCUGGAACUUCUGACCUGGAACACGUGCGGCCUCCUCUCAGCCGGUCCUCAGAAUAAAGCACAGAUCCGACGUCCAUUAGAUACAGCGAGGCGUAAUUGGUGGUGGCCAUAUCGGUCCUGUGGUUGUUUGCGGAGAAGCUACUCUUCCCCUCCCUCGUCCUUCUGCGUCUGCCUGCAGGACGAUGAGCCCCCCUCGUGCCAGCACCUGAAAGGGUAGGCACGUGUCGGAUGGAAUGUCAGGGGCUGUGGCCAGGCCCCUUAUUGUAGAUAAGGGAAAACCAGGAAGCUUAGACUAAAUCAAAAACAAAAAUUAAAGAAAGAAAACUCAUCGUGGAAGAAAAGAGACAGAAAGUCAAGUCACUUGCCCCCAACCAUUCAGCUUUUCCCACGAAAAGGUCGUGCUGUGCUGCUAAGGGCUCAGCCUGGUACUGCCGGAUUUUAAAAGUGAACCAGGAGGUCGCGGGCUGUUCAAAGAUGGGUGCAUCCCGGCCACCACACCGUUUUGUGACAAGAAGAAAGCAGGGGUUCCAGCCUCGGCCGCAUCAGCCCCUAAUACAUCUGCCCCGAGUCGUGGGUGACUUCCGCCAAAGCCAAUUUUAAAACCUCCCUUUGAACCAGGAACCACCCCUCGGCUGAAAUCCUGGGGUCCUGAUGGACAGCAACAGAGAGCUACUCCGCCCGGUGUCCUGUUUUCUGGCCCACCUGCCAGGGGUUCCACCUUCGCCUUCACUCGAGUAGGCAGCCGCUCUUCAGACUGCAAAGUCAGGGUUGGCUUUGACUCUGAUGAAACCAUUGUGGAUAAGCCACACCCAUUUCCCAGUAGGCUGGCUUCACACCUCCCCCUAAGAGCUUUUCCAGCUCGUUCCCUUUGGGUAACCUGGCAGGCUCCGCACAGUGCCCGUACCCAGUGACAGCUUAAAUGGUUCUGCGAUGACUCAAAGGGGAAACCAUGAGCUGGAACAGAGGAGCUGACAAAGGUGAGAAGCUGACAGAAAAUGGAAGUAGGUGACUGAAACAGGACCAGAACCAUCCUGGCCACUUGGUCUAAAUAAACAGAUUUGACUGGCUUUGCCAAAAUACAGUAAAUUUAGUUUUUUUUUUAAUUUGACAGAGUUAGACAGUGAGAGAGAGAGAGACAGAGAGAAAGGUCUUCCUUUUUCCAUUGGUUCACCCCCAAAAUGGCCGCUAUGGCCGGUGCUGCGCUGAUCCGAAGCCUGGAGCCAGGUGCUUCCUCCUGGUCUCCCAUGCAGGGGAAGGUGCCAAGCACUUGGGCCAUCCUCCACUGCCUUCCUGGGCCACAGCAGAGAGCUGGACUGGAAGAGGGGCAACCAAGACUAGAACCCAGGAACCACAUGGGAUGUCAGCGCCACAGGCAGAGGAUUAGCCAAGUGAGCCACAGCGCCGGCCCCAGUAUAUUCAGUUUCUAGUGAAACUCCAGAUAACAUGCAGAACACCGCUCAGGCAUUCAUUUAUCCAUUAGCCAACUUACUGAAUACUAAGGAUGCGCUUGGGACAAUUUUAAAUGCAGCAUUGUGCCUUACAUCCUAGUUGGAGGGGAGAGCACAGGCAAGUAACAUAAUCAAGAAGUAGAUCAUUUCAUAGAUCAGCAGUAACCAGUGCCAUAGAGAACAAAGCAACUCAUGGGGAAUUGAAUUUGGGGAUGGGGAGAAGCAUGGGUUUCAGGUUUCAUACUGAAUGGACAGGGCAAGCCUCACUAAGGUGAGAUUUAAGUGAAGUCUAGAAGGCAGCAGUUGAGUGAGCCACAGAGUUAGUCAGUGGAAGGGCAAUCCAGUCACGGCAAAGGCCCGAGGAGGGCCGCUUGGUGCCCUCAGGGAAUGGUCCUUGAAGCCAAUGGGGAUGGAACGGAGUCAAGGAGAGGAGGAGCGCUCAGAGAGAGGACAGAGCAGAGGUUGUGCAGGCUUUGAAGGAAGCCAGGAGAAAGCUGUCCCCUCCUGAGAGACGGGGAUGAGCGAUGGGUAGCUGGGGGCGAGCCCUGAAGCGAGGAGAGCCAUCAGGAGGCUGAGGCCAUGGUCCAGAGGAGGGAUCGUGGCGGACUCGGUGAGAGUGAUGGGGACCCUCUCUGGCUGCUACAGUUUGACUGUGUCCUCCAGAUUUCAUGCAUUGGACACACAGUCCCCUAAGUCAUGUGUUCAUGGUGUCUGACAGGUGCGUCAUGGAGAGGUGCGUGGGCCAUGAGAUUCUGCCUUCUUGAACGUCUUAAUUCGCUCGUGGACUGAGGGAGCCAGGGACUGAGAGAGCCGUGGGCUCUCCAGGGAGGGACUUUACAAUAACAGCAAACUCUCUCUCUGACUUGCUCCAUCUCGCCGCAUGAUGCCUGCCACCAUGACACAGGGAAAAGGUCAGUUGGUGAGCAGUCGCCAGUGCACACUCUGGGCCUGCCCAGCCUCCAGACCUGGGAGCCAGACCAACCUCUGUUCUUCAUAAAUGGCCCAGUCUGUGGUGUCCAGCCAGAGCAACAGAAUCCCUGAAGUGACCACAGUUACUAAUCACAGAAUCGGGUGGAUAGUGUUCCUCGUCCUCAUUGAGAAAAAAUUCAGGUGCAUUUCCUGCCUCUCAGAGGUAGCCUGUGUUCAAGCCCCAGUUUGCACGGGGUCUUUACUGGUGCUCCCACCACCCCUGUCUCCCAUACCACAGAUGGCCCAAGUGCUUGGGCCCCAGCACUCACAUUAGAGACCCAUAUGGAGUUCUAGGCUCCUGGCUUCAGCCAGACCCAGCCUUGGCCACUGGGCCAUUUGGGAAGUGAAUCAGCAGAUGGAAGAUUCUCUCUCUCUCUCUUUCUCUAACUCUGCCUUUCAAAUAAAUAAAUAUUUAAAAAACAAAUAGAAUUAGAUCACCCAUCAAUCCAUCAGAGGACAAGGGCCCACUUGCUGGCUGCAGUCCAGGGUUGAUUUCCCCCAAUAUGCUGCAGGAUCACAGUUACUGGAACUCUCGCCUGUGGUGAAUGAGAUGAGCUACAUAUGUAUGGGGGUAACAAAGGCUCUUGAACUUGAAAAAUACAUGAGAAAUAGCAACUUUAAGGACUGUAUAAUUGGUUAGUUUUCUGUAACCUCCAUAGAAUAGCUAAAGAAAACAGACUUUAAAAUAAAGGAACUCAGAGAAUGUUAGCAAAGCCAGAAAGCUCCCUUGUUUAAGGCAUUCUCACCCUGCAGCAAGAGAGCAGGCUUCGCUGAAAACUACUGACGAGGUGCAGUUAUAAUGCAGUAGAGCUUCUGCACUCCUAUUCUGCAUUCAAUUCACGGCCCUGGCAGGUCUGUCACACUGAAGUCAGCGCCUGAUACGGAACGAGUUGCACCUUGAGAUCUGGGAUGUAUUUCAGUGGAUGCAUUUGAAAAUACUUGAGGGGCUGGCGCUGUGACGUAGUGAGUAAAGCUGCCAACCUGCAGUGCCGGCAUCCCAUAUGGCCGCUGGUUCCAGUCCCGGCUGCUCCACUUCUGAUCCAGCUCUCUGCUAUGGCCUGGGAAAGCAGUAGAAGAUGGCCCAAGUCCUUGGGCCCCUGCACACAUGUGGGAGACCUGGAAGAAGAUCCUGGCUCCUGCCUUCAGAUCAGCACAGCUCCGGCCAUUGUGGCCAACUGGGAAGUGAACCAGUGGAUGGAAGACCUCUCUCUCUCUCUCUCUCUCUCUCUCUCUCUCUCUCUCUCUCUCUCUCUCCCUCUCUCUCCCUCUCCUUCUCUAUGUAACUCUGACUUUCAAAUAAAUAAUUCUAAAAAAAGAAAAGAAAAUAUUUGCACUCGAUGCUACUGGGCUAAUAGAUGUGGUCGCCACCUCCUUUUGGGAGGACAGGGGCCUCCCUUUAUCUGGAGACCAUCUAGAAGCCUCACCUAAGACAGAGGCUUCCCAAGAUACUGAGGGUUCUUUCUGAGGACAGCUCAUGCCUGCCCUACGAAGCAGAGUGGGAGAGUGUGGAAAACGGGAAGAAUGUGUAGGUGAAAGAGGAGAGGAGGGAGGGAGAGAGAGGGAGAGAGAGAGAGAAGUGGGAGGGAGGCAGGAAGGGCAGGAGGGGGCGGGGAAGAGAGGGGAAUGCUAGCUGCCAAGCACUGAGCAGUAUAAUUGGCACCACCACUGCCGGACAUCCGGGUACAACAACAUGGGGACCCGGCUGCUUACCGUGGCC